CACACACUCAUACCUAGGAAUUUCAACAAAUCAAACGUCUAAUUUCAUUUCAAAUCACAUAUACACUUGACAAAAAAUAGACUUUCAUUUAUUGUUUUUCUGAUGGAAAAAAAUACAGUGCCACUAUACUUUUAUCAUCAUUUUAACAUCAUGAUACUUGAUUCUGUUUUAUCGUUUCAAAUCCUUCAAAUGUUUCCAUUUUCUAAUCGACGAGAUUCGCUUUUUCAAAAAAAAACCGAAAGAAUAAGUAUGCCAUUUCCGCCAAACAAAACAAAAAAGAUCAUAAUCACGAAACCAAAACAUUUUUUUCAAAUCAGCGAUUAUAGUGACAAACAAAAUUACAUCAACAUCUGCUUUGCAAUGUACAAAAUUGCAAAUAAAAACAAAAUGAAAAAGAAUUUCAUCAUCAUCAUCAUCAACAUCAAAUGUAUCGAUAUUUCGAAACAAAAACAUCUGAAAUUUUAACACUUCGGACACAUUGGUGUCCACCUGUCAUUUUCUUGUAACAUACAACCUGUCACACAUACAUUAUAUUGUUGUUUGACAAUAGAAGAUAAUAUUGGAUCAUACAAUGCAAUAAAAAUGUGUCAUCCUAUUGUCAAACUUUAUAUAUAUAAAAGUUGACUUUUAUUCUUCGUUUCACACUCCAAAUGUUGGCAAAACGUUUAAUAGCACCAAGUAUUAUUCAAGCUCGAAUUUCUGCCCACACACACGUACAAACGAACUAACAAGAUGACAAAGACAAACAUUUCAUUCAAUUCAAUUUAAUUUCUGCCCAAAUAAUAAUGUACAUGGACAUCAUCAUUGUAAAGUUUUCUUUAUCUUUGGUUUGAUGUUCAUAAUUUUUCCAAUGAUCAAUUAAAUAUUAAUGAGCAUUUUGAACAUUGUCAUUAUCAUCUCUUAUCAAUGGCAACUAAUGAAUCUUGAAAAUAUCAUAUUUGAUCGCUAUAAGCGCUUGCGCUCAUCGAAAACGAAAGGGUUUUGUUUUUCAUUACACACUGACCUUCAUCCGUUAUGAAUAUGAAAAAUUCCAAUUUCACAAACCCAAACACAUCUAUCACUGCUGCUGCAAUAUCCGAUAUAAAAAUUAAUGAAACUGGACUAAACGAAAUUUUUUAUUCUUUUGAUCUCGUUGCACAUCUUUAUCAUUAUUCUUAUUAUUAGAAUCGAUCCAAAAUACAGAAAGCCUGGAUGGAUGACCAUAAAACCAGAACCCCGCAAAAGCAUCAAACUGAUAUAUGAUGCAGAAUUUUUCUCUGAUGAUGACCAUACAAUAUACCAUACUAUAUAAUGACACAAUAUUAAUCUAGUAUUAUUAAUCAUCAUACACCUUUUGAGCAUCUACUUCUUUUCUGGCAAUACGAUCAUCAAUGAUUAUAAAACAAAA